rnacentral:rRNA from 1 species
UACGUAGGGUGCAAGCGUUGUCCGGAAUUAUUGGGCGUAAAGAGCUCGUAGGCGGUUCGUCGCGUCGGCUGUGAAAACCUGAGGCUCAACCUCAGGCCUGCAGUCGAUACGGGCGGACUUGAGUACUGCAGGGGAGACUGGAAUUCCUGGUGUAGCGGUGAAAUGCGCAGAUAUCAGGAGGAACACCGGUGGCGAAGGCGGGUCUCUAGUACGGUACUGACGCUGAGACGCGAAAGCGUGGGGAGCGAACAGG